GCGGGGGAGUAACAUUCUGGGAAACAGGUGCUAAUACCGCAUAACAACGAAAACCACAUGGGUUUUCGUUUCAAAGAUGGUUUUCGGUCUAUCACUUCAGGAUGGGCCCGCGGUGCAUUAGCUAGUUGGUAGGGUAACGGCUUACCAAGGCAAUGAUGCAUAGCCGAGUUGAGAGACUGAUCGGCCACAAUGGAACUGAGACACGGUCCAUACUCCUACGGGAGGCAGCAGUAGGGAAUCUUCCACAAUGGGCGCAAGCCUGAUGGAGCAACACCGCGUGAGUGAAGAAGGGUUUUCGGCUCGUAAAGGCUCUGUUGUUGGAGAAGAACGUGCGUGAGAGUAACUGUUCACGCAGUGACGGUAUCCAACCAGAAAGUCACGGCUAACUACGUGCC
rnacentral:rRNA from 1 species